UACGUAGGUGGCAAGCGUUGUCCGGAUUUACUGGGUGUAAAGGGCGUGCAGCCGGGCUGACAAGUCAGAUGUGAAAUCCCGCGGCUCAACCGCGGAACUGCAUUUGAAACUGACAGUCUUGAGUACCGGAGAGGUCAUCGGAAUUCCUUGUGUAGCGGUGAAAUGCGUAGAUAUAAGGAAGAACACCAGUGGCGAAGGCGGAUGACUGGACGGCAACUGACGGUGAGGCGCGAAAGCGUGGGGAGCAAACAGG
rnacentral:rRNA from 1 species